rnacentral:rRNA from 1 species
CCUACGGGGUGCAGCAGUGGGGAAUAUUGCACAAUGGGGGAAACCCUGAUGCAGCGACGCCGCGUGAGUGAAGAAGUAAUUCGUUAUGUAAAGCUCUAUCAGCAGGGAAGAAAAUGACGGUACCUGAGUAAGAAACCCCGGCUAACUACGUGCCAGCAGCCGCGGUAAUACGUAGGGGGCAAGCGUUAUCCGGAUUUACUGGGUGGAAAGGGAGCGUAGACGGCAGUGCAAGUCUGGAGUGAAAGGCGGGGGCUCAACCCCCGGACUGCUCUGGAAACUGUACGGCUGGAGUGCAGGAGAGGUAAGUGGAAUUCCUAGUGUAGCGGUGAAAUGCGUAGAUAUUAGGAGGAACACCAGUGGCGAAGGCGGCUUACUGGACUGUAACUGACGUUGAGGCUCGAAAGCGUGGGGAGCAAACAGGAUUAGAUACCCUUGUAGUC